ACUUGAUGAUGUUGGCAUGUAUGAAGAAGGUCCCUAAAACACUCCCAAGUUUCGAAAAAUUUCUCACCAUCUAUCUGUGAGAAACUAGUGAUGGCUCUCCUAAGCU